CCCUAUUCCCUGGGCCCACCACCAAACAGACGUUUGGUUGGGUGUAAUCGUAUUACACCCCUAUUCCCUUCCCUCUCUAUUACUGAUACUGGCCGUAAUAGCCAUUCUGAGUUUGAAGCGGGUAAUAAGGAAUCCCCAUCAAUUCCCAAUUUUAUUUUCCAUUUUCUGCCCUCAUCCUCUCCCAACGUUUCCCAAUUUUUUCUUUUCUAGAUUUCUACUUCUUCUUCUGAUAAUGGUAUCAAGGCACCAAAGAAACAAGAUGGACUAGAAGGAGGUGGAAAUUCAAAGA